rnacentral:lncRNA from 9 species
AGGACGGUGACGCUAGACCGAACAGCUCCGCCGGAGGCAGAGCGCCCAGCCCCACGCCCAGCUCCGGUGACAUUCUCGCCGCAGACUUUAAAUGGAGGGAGCGAGAUGUCCACAGGCAAAAUUGUCGCCAAGAGAAGGAAGGAAGAGCCCCGACCGGCUCUGCCUCUGUGGGGAAAGAGCCUGUUUGCAGCCUCCAAGGAAGCCUGCUGA